rnacentral:lncRNA from 1 species
AGCCUCUAGAUGAACAGCUUGUAGAAACCCUAGCCCAAUCUUCAAGAAAGAGAGUUUAGAGAGGAUUUUGAGAGUGUUGUGAUCUUUCCAAGUGAGGAAUGAGGUACCAAAUAGUGUUAUAAGACGUGGGUUCUUAAGGGCUUGGGGUAGUAAAUGUCUAAAGUACCCUAAACUUAAGAACUAUAAAAGGCUUGCAGGAGGGUACGGUUUGACCUCUCCACUCAUACCCACAUCAUACGAGUGGUACCUUUUACUCGUAUGUUGAUCAGAAUUUUGGACACUAUAAUUUGUCUUACAUACAACUCCUUAUCAUGAGUCUUUACCCUAUCAUGAG